rnacentral:rRNA from 1 species
GACGUAGGGCGCGAGCGUUGUCCGGAUUUAUUGGGCGUAAAGAGCUCGUAGGCGGCUCGUUGCGUCGGCUGUGAAAACCCGCAGCUCAACUGUGGGCUUGCAGCCGAUACGGGCGGGCUGGGAUUCGGUAGGGGAGAGUGGAAUUCCUGGUGUAGCGGUGAAAUGCGCAGAUAUCAGGAAGAACACCCGUGGCGAAAGCGGCUCUCUGGAACGGUACUGACGCUGAGACGCGAAAGCGUGGGGAGCGAACAGG